GGUUCACCGGUUCUGCAUCUAAACCUGCUUCUGCCCGUAUCUAAUCAAGCCAGCAAGAGAGAACCAGGGAGGGAGAUCCCAUGACUUCCCCCUGUCUUAUCUUCUUCUCUGAGUGUGAAGUCCCCUGGGAUAUGCAGUUGUUCUUCCCUUCUGAGAACCAGGUAUCUGGAAAGUUGUCAGUCCAUGGAACUGGAGUAUUAAAUCUUUAAUUACCUGUGCUUUAUGUGAUGUUAUGAUGUGGAAUGUUGAUAUCAAAAUUAUAAAACCAUGACACAGUUUAGUAUGGAGGAUUAAUGAAGCAUAUAUACAACCACUUCCAUAUAAUUUUAUAUAUUCUCCUAAGUGGUAUACUGGCAUUAUAUCGUAGCAUAUAUAUAUAUAUAUAUAUAUUUUUCAAAGCUUUUACACUAUUGUAACAUAACUCACAUAUGCUUCCAUGUUUUCCUCCUGCUAUACUCAGUUCACUUACAUUUGCAAGAAGGUAUGUAUCACACUAAUACAUGUGUGAGCACUGGCAUGAUGGUUAGCGACAAAGCACAAUGGAAACAAAGGACCCCUCAUUGUGCCUAUUUUUUAAUUCAUUACUUAUUUGAAUUAAUUUUAUGGCAACAAUGAUGUUUUUUUUUUCCUUUGCAUUAUAUCAAAGCGCUACAGAAAAAUCUGUGCAUUACUGUGGGGAGGAAAAAAAAAAAUCCCAAUCCCGCCCAACAAUCAAAGACUGUUGUGGCCAUGAUUUUUUGAAACUAUGCAUUUUAAUGAAGCAAUCGUUAUCAAUAAAGAAAGGGACUGCAAUUUUCAAGGAGCGUUUGGACAUCUCAGCCUGUGUUUCGUUUGGAAUUUCUGAAGACUUUCCAUUGACGGAACAUUUACUUUCGAGGAUUGUCUACCAUAUAGCUUGGACAAUUCUUCUAAUAGAGGGCUCCAGGGAACCAUCUUUGGGCUUUAUCUCACUUACUCAGCUUCUACUCAAGACUACUGUGCAUCCUAAGCUUUCCCACAGGAUCUACAUUCUUCGCCUGCAAAACAUGUGCUUUUGCUUCUGCACCAAAAUCAAUCACAGAUCUGGGGCCCCUGAGAGGGAUGGAGGACCAAUACAACAGAAACACACCAGUGAAGGUGCCAAGAGGUCUUCCUAGGAGAUUCUUCAAGAAGUAAAAUUUAAAGAGUGCUGUUUCCCAGGGUAGUCACAAAUUAAAUAGGAAAUGGCCAUCACUAAGGCAGGGUUGUUGUGGUUGCAUUCAACUUGAAAACAUAGCUUGUAUCAUUAAUUUUUUUCUGUGGUAAUUCACCUAAUCUUAGUCAGAUAGUCCCUCUGGUACCAUAUUGGGUCAUUUUAGAUCAAGAAGCAAAGAGAGCUUACACGCUUCUCCCUUGAAAGAGUGAUAUCCUUAAACAGAUAUCCGUAGCAGAGUUACUGUGUUGAUGAAAAAAUAUAGAAAUGGUGAGAUAAGUAGUUAGGUAUAGUGCAGAAAACUGCACAUUGAAUAAUUGGACCCAAAUACAGUUUCAGGCACUGCAUUCCAGGGGGAUGUACAGUGCACACAACAGUGUCCCUGCAGGAGCAUGUCUGGCAGCAAGUUUGCCAUUUCUUGCAACUACGGCUACUAAUGUUGCAUUCAACAAAGGAAACAUCUACUAAAUAGUUAUUACAGACCACUAGUCAGUGAUAUCCUAGUUCAAAACUUUGUGGGAGAUCCCCUUAGGUGGAGAAAUAAAUUCAAAUUGGUGUACUCUGGCCUCCCCUGC
rnacentral:lncRNA from 1 species